GUCAACGUUACCGCAUUUCUGUGGAAACGCUUUCAGUAAAAAGUUGGAAAUUGGUAAAGACGAACUACAGAACGGAAAACUUCGAUAUUGGUUUAGAAUAAUGUACUACUGGUUCAAAGUCCAAGGACAAUUCCUAAAUAUUCGCUGUAGCUGUCUUCGUCUUUUUAUAAUAGGACGAAUCUGCUAAGAAGAAAAUUCGGAAAUCAAACACGCUAAAACAAGAAUUAUGAUACGAACGUGGAUUGCGAAAUAGAAAUAAAAAUUCCACCACCAGUGCCUGUUCGAGUGGAUCGAACUUAAACAACAGCGGAAUUCGAUGUAAUCUAAACAAACGCUGACGCCCUGAAUAUGGAGACAGCAGGUUUUUCCGAAAUUUUAUAUCCACUUACGAUUCCACAGAGUGUCAUAACGCAGAAGAAAAAUUAUCGCCAUGCUAAGCAGCUUAGUUUAUAAUACCAUUAUCCUCUAAACAUAUAUUUGUUCUUGCAUUUCAGUACAUUUACACGCUAGCAGUGGGAUUUAAUCUCGUACAAUCACGGUAUUCUCUUAUGUAAGAAAUUUAUGGGAUACAUGAGCAUGAAACACUGAAAAUGUUUUCAGAUAUCGAACACGGUUUCCUUUCUAUUUCAACCCAUUCCUUAUAGUUGAAACUAGUCUCCUGUACUAUGCAGAAUAAAGUACAUUCGAGUUCGAUUCCCGUGAGAGUGUCUGAAACGUAUUAACUCUGUAUUUCCCUAGAGACUUUGCAGCUAUCGUGGAAAGGGACUUCCAAUUUUAUUUUCCCUCUAACACCUGACAAAGCCUGUGACAAGAGCCAAGGCAUGAAACAAAGGAAUAGCGAUAAUGCAUUCCGUCAAUCCAGAACUUUAUGUGAGCAAAGUUUUAAGGAUACGUGUAAGACAAAAUCCUACCUUAUUUUAUAUAACCUACAACACGGAAACCGUGUAAUAACUUAACGUUCUUUACUGAUAAUAAAUGCGAAAAUAAUAUUUUACUUUAUGUACUCAGUCCGUCGUUCCAGGAAUUAAAGCGAGAAGCCGAGAAUAGGGACAACUGGAGAGCUCUGUUUGGGCAGAGCAAUGGACCUGUCGAAAGACAGAACACUUAAUAAUAAUAAUAACUCAGUCCGUACGUCACAGUUAUAUAUUUCUUUGCUGAACCACAUUUAUGGAUCAAAUUCUUCAUACGUAAGACAAUAAACAACUUUGUUGAUCACGAAUGGAAGUCCAGUUAAUUUACAUAAUCUACUUUCCUACGAAAAAUUUAAAACAGGAUUUAAAGCUGUUACAGCCAGUCAAGUAAUUUAUCUCGAAAACACAUGGCAGAAGGAAUCUAUAUAGUGGAUGCCUGA